AUUUUUAUGCUUUUUUUUCCAUGCUAUCAUUUGAUGUUUUAAGAGAUAGUGGAUGGGUGCAGUUAGAGCAUCUCCAUCCGGAGUUUCUGAUCCAGAAACUGUUUAUUAAAACAGAAUAAAAAAUUCGAAAAAGAUGGAGAGAAAGUAAAAACGUUUCUCACUUGAAAAACUCAGAGAAACCCAUUUUGCUUUUGUUUUGUUUUGAUUGGUUCAAAUAAUAAUUAAAAA
rnacentral:sRNA from 1 species